rnacentral:rRNA from 1 species
GUAGGAUGCGAGCGUUGUCCGGAAUUACUGGGUGUAAAGGGAGCGCAGGCGGGUUCGUAAGUCGGCGGUGAAAUCUUCGGGCUCAACCCGAAAGCUGCCACCGAUACUGCGGAUCUUGGGUGCAGAAGAGGUUGAUGGAAUUCUUGGUGUAGCGGUGAAAUGCGUAGAUAUCAAGAAGAACACCGAUGGCGAAGGCAGUCAACUGGUCUGUUACCGACGCUCAUGCUCGAAAGCGUGGGGAUCAAACAGGAUUAGAUACCCUGGUAGUCCACGCCUUAAACGAUGAAUACUCGAUGUCAGCCCGCAAGGGUUGGUGUCCAAGCUAACGCAUUAAGUAUUCCACCUGGGAAGUACGAUCGCAAGGUUG